rnacentral:tRNA from 1 species
UAGCUCAGUGGCAGAGCAUUGGACUGCAGAUCAAGAGGUCCCUGGUUCAACUCCAGG